UACGUAGGGGGCAAGCGUUGUCCGGAAUCAUUGGGCGUAAAGCGCGUGUAGGCGGCUCGAUAAGUCUGCUGUGAAAGUCCAGGGCUCAACCCUGGGAUGCCGGUGGAUACUGUCGAGCUCGAGUCCGGAAGAGGCGAGUGGAAUUCCUGGUGUAGCGGUGAAAUGCGCAGAUAUCAGGAGGAACACCAAUGGCGAAGGCAGCUCGCUGGGACGUGACUGGCGCUGAGACGCGAAAGCGUGGGGAGCAAACAGG
rnacentral:rRNA from 1 species